rnacentral:rRNA from 1 species
GAUGAACGCUGGCGGCGUGCCUAAUACAUGCAAGUCGAGCGAACAGACGAGGAGCUUGCUCCUCUGACGUUAGCGGCGGACGGGUGAGUAACACGUGGAUAACCUACCUAUCAGACUGGGAUAACUUCGGGAAACCGGAGCUAAUACCGGAUAAUAUAUUGAACCGCAUGGUUCAAUAGUGAAAGACGGGUUUGCUGUCACUUAUAGAUGGAUCCGCGCCGCAUUAGCUAGUUGGUAAGGUAACGGCUUACCAAGGCAACGAUGCGUAGCCGACCUGAGAGAGGGAUCGGCCACACUGGAACGGAGACACGGUCCAGACUCCUACGGGAGGCAGCAGUAGGGAAUCUUCCGCAGUGGGCGAAAGCCUGACGGAGCAACGCCGCGUGAGUGAUGAAGGUCUUCGGAUCGUAAAACUCUGUUAUUAGGGAAGAACAAAUGUGUAAGUAACUAUGCACGUCUUGACGGUACCUAAUCAGAAAGCCACGGCUAACUACGUG